rnacentral:rRNA from 1 species
GAGUUUGGAUCUUGGCUCAGAUUGAACGCUGGCGGCAUGCCUUACACAUGCAAGUCGAACGGCAGCACGGGAGCUUGCUCCUGGUGGCGAGUGGCGAACGGGUGAGUAAUGCAUCGGAACGUAUCCUGGAGUGGGGGAUAACGUAGCGAAAGUUACGCUAAUACCGCAUAUUCUGUGAGCAGGAAAGCGGGGGACCUUCGGGCCUCGCGCUCUUGGAGCGGCCGAUGUCGGAUUAGCUAGUUGGUGAGGUAAAGGCUCACCAAGGCGACGAUCCGUAGCAGGUCUGAGAGGAUGAUCUGCCACACUGGAACUGAGACACGGUCCAGACUCCUACGGGAGGCAGCAGUGGGGAAUUUUGGACAAUGGGGGCAACCCUGAUCCAGCCAUGCCGCGUGAGUGAAGAAGGCCUCGGUUGUAAG